CUUUCCCAACUUUAAAACAAACAGUUAAUGGUCGAAAUAGGCUAGGAUAUUGCUUUUACUUCAUUACAAAGUGGGACUUAUUUGAAUAUAGAUGAACUGAAGCAGCAAACUGUACUUUGGGGGUAAUGUGAGGUGGAAAAAAUAAAAGAAAAUUGAUUGUUGUGUAUGGCAAGGAAAACCACAACCAGGUUACAGGAUGAUGUGGAAUAUG